rnacentral:rRNA from 1 species
CGCCUCUUGUCUAUUAAUAAGAGGUCCAGCCUGCCCAGUGACCCUGUUCAACGGCCGCGGUAUCCUAACCGUGCGAAGGUAGCGUAAUCACUUGUUCUUUAAAUGAGGACUAGUAUGAAUGGCCCCACGAAGGCUACACUGUCUCCUUUUCUUAAUCAAUGAAACUAAUCUUCCCGUGAAGAAGCGGGAAUACAUAUAUAAGACGAGAAGACCCUAUGGAGCUUUAAACUAUCGAAACACUUGCUUUUUAUCUCUUACGCUCCUGAGCCCCUUUAAUUAUUCAAGCAUUUUUACUUCAAGUUUUAGGUUGGGGUGACCACGGAGCAAAACUUAACCUCCAUGAUGUAAGAGGCUUCACUCUUAGCCAAAAGCCACUUUUUUAAGCAUCAAUAAAUUGACUCUCAUUGACCCAAUUAUUUGAUCAACGAACCAAGUUACCCUAGGGAUAACAGCGCAAUCUACUUCAAGAGCUCAUAUCGACAAGUAGGUUUACGACCUCGAUGUUGGAUCAGGGUAUCCUAGUGGUGCAGCCGCUACUGAUGGUUCGUUUGUUCAACGAUUAAAACCCU